CCUCUCCUUCCUUCCUUCUCCCCCUGCUUCUCUGUCUCUACCUUUCUCUCUUUCUUCUUUCUCCCUUUUUACUCUAUUGGGACAAAACUCUCCCUUACCAACUGCAGGAAAUCCUGAGGUGAUGGGUCUCUCCAGCUGAAGACCCCAGGGGAUACUGUUGGGCUGACCUGAGCUGGGGGGCGCUGUCGAGCACUCGGAGGAGGAGCAGCAGAAGUCACAGCUGGGGCUGUUGGUGCCUGUCACCCAGGCAGCGAGCUGCGCUGCAGGUAAAAAUAGUCUGCAGGAGUGGAGAGCGCUAGAGCUGCCACCUCGGGAGCGAGCGGUUCUCAGCAUAAACAAAGCAGCAUAUGGGCUGCCAUGUCAGGAAGUUCAGUCCCCGGGUGGUGAACCACCAUUUUAUAGAUCAUAUGAACAAUGCCUCUGGAGUUGUGCAACACGGUUGUUCUGAACACAGAGUAUAGAUUCUUGGCAAGUAUUUGUUGGAUGAAGGAAUGGAGGACUGGCUAGACGCCUCACUGGUA
rnacentral:lncRNA from 1 species